UACGUAGGGUGCGAGCGUUAAUCGGAAUUACUGGGCGUAAAGCGUGCGCAGGCGGUUUUGUAAGUCAGAUGUGAAAUCCCCGGGCUUAACCUGGGAACUGCGUUUGAAACUACAAGGCUAGAGUGUGGCAGAGGGGGAUGGAAUUCCACGUGUAGCAGUGAAAUGCGUAGAGAUGUGGAGGAACACCGAUGGCGAAGGCAGCCCCCUGGGUUAACACUGACGCUCAGGCACGAAAGCGUGGGGAGCAAACAGG
rnacentral:rRNA from 1 species